GCCUGCAUAGCUCAGUUGGUAGAGUACCACACUCGUAAUGUGGGGGUCGAGGGUUCAAUCCCCUCUGCAGGCU
rnacentral:tRNA from 1 species